CUACUUUACAAAAGGACACGUGGGUUGGGAGACGCUGAGGCACAGAAACAGAAAUCAGGUGGUUUUCCCCUAACUCUGAAGCAUUUUGCGGCAGUCACUGAGGGGCACGCAAGGAGCUAAGAGUGAGAGGGCGUGCUGCUGGAGGACUGAGGAGUACAAACGCUAUCUGGCAUCAGGAGGAAGAUCCUGGGCCCAGCCCCCAGAAGGACGACUGGGAGGUCCUCAAACCAAGGAGAAGAAGUGUGUGAGUCCAAGGAGGGCUCCAUGAAGCUGGAUGCUGGUGGCAUGCCAAAACCUGUCUGAAUCACAGCACAGCUCCAUGAAGAAGUGCUGUGGAAUCCCUUAACCAAAAGGAAGGAGUUGUGAAUCCAGGGACCACUGCAGGAGGAGACCUGUGGGAAAGACUCUCCAGAGAGGUCAGGGGCUGCAGUGGGACUGGCAGAGCUCCCUGGCACAGAGGGAAUUGGGAUCCUGAAGCUGCCUGAUGUCCAGGUAAAGCCCCCCACUUCCACCCAAGACUCCUGCACCUACCUCUGAAUCCCUCUACUCUUCGACACACCACCACAGGCCCCUGCACUCCAGCCAGAACCACUUCCCUCAGGGCUUGUCUUCAGUACCGUGCUAAUUUGGUGCCGCUGCAUUGAGGCAGUGGUGCCAAUGUAGCACACCUGGUGAAAAAGUAUUACAUCAACAGGAGAGCUCUCUCCCAUCAACAUGAUUGCUCCAACUCAACAAGAGGCAGAAGCUAUGUCAGCGGGAGAGUGUAGACACCGCUUUAAGUCAAUGUAAGUUACAUCGCUCGGGGGCUGGUUUUUUUCACACCCCUGAGCAACAUAACUUACAUCGACUUAAACAGUAGUGUAGAUAAGUUCCUAGUCUAACCUCACUAGAGCUGGGUGGGAGGGGACAGUUUUUCUACCUUGUGAAACUUUGUGAUUUUUUUUUUGAAAUUUUUUCCAUUCUGCACUCGGAUGAAACUGAGACCUUUUGAAGUUUUUCACAAAAAAAUCAGAAAGAGACCCACUCGCCCCACAGUAGCCAAUAGCCUGGUAGUUAGGGCACUCACCUGGCAUAUGGAAGACCCAGCUUCAAGUACGUGCUUGGAAUUGGGCACACCUGUGACACAUUCCAGGUGAGCAUCUUGACUACCAGGUAGUUUUGGGGUUUGGGUCUCUAUGAUUUAGACCAGAAGUUCCAUCUUAGACCUGAGAAACGUCUCCUGACAACGUUUACUCAAAACCAUAUGUUGCCACAAAAAGUUGUGGUUUUUAACAAUUGGCAUUUGCUGAUGAAACAUUUUGUUGAAAAAUUCCUGACCAGCUCUAAACCUCAUAUCCUCUAACUUUCCUACUCAGACUCUCCCAGUCAAACUCUCUUCUCUCCUAAUUUCCCCCCAGGCAGAUCUCCAGCAGCCAGAGUCAAAACUUAUUUUACUGUGAAAUUCAUAAACACCGAAUCCUAUUACAUUGUAAAAUAAAUGUGUUCAAAAAGGAGAAAAAUGGGCAUGUGGUACAUCAAAUAUUGUGUUUUGUUAUUUUUAAGAAAGUGGUAUGCAAACCAAUAAAGUUGGAAAUCUGCCCUAUUUAAUACAAUCCCCAGUUUUGUGGUGCCUUCAGUAUUGCAGCCUUUCUGCUUAGAGCUUUGUCUGCAGACUUGAUACCAGAUGGUGGGGCUGUUGAUAUGCUAUUGUAGAUUCCUUACAGCAUAACUAGGGUAUUAGUUUCAGGUUGCUUUUGUUGCAGGCAGAGAAACAUUAGUUGCUGUUAGCUGUUGUGAUCUAGUUACUAUGCGUGGUUCUGUUCAUCAUCUCUGGUCUCACUUCUACCUGUCCAUUUUUUGUGGGAAGAGGGUUGGUUCAGAUUUUGUUGUUUCUAUGUAAUUUUCCAUCAUCGUAUAUUCUUUGAUUUUCUCAUGUUGGUGAGGUCUAUAGUUGGUUUCCUUUAGUGUUUUUCUUUGCCAGAAACUGAGAUGUUUUUCAAAAGUCCUGUUGUCUCAGACUUUGCAGUGAUGAUUCUGUGGCCUGUUUGCUUAUUUAUGAAUUUUCCAUCCUCUCUUUUUUCUUUCCCAUCAUGUAAUGUUCUUUCCUGAAUCUUUAUGUAUUCCCCAAUAUAACAGAGAAGCAGUGUGCAGUAUCCCCUACUUCCUCUUCUCUAUACACACCUUAUCUUUAGUUGCACUGCUGAUUUACUAGAUCUAGUGAUAAGACCUAGUACUUGAAUCUUCAAACCUCUUUGCAAACAAUGAAUUUCCACAAAAUCCCUGACAGUUAGGUAAAUUUCCCAAUGGGCAAAGUGACACAUAAAGUUUAAAAGCUUGAUCCAAUACUCAUUAAAGCAAAUCUCUUGAUUUUUCCUUCAAAUUCUGUAUUUUAACAGUGGCACUCUUUUUCUAACUUGUUCUUCACGGCACCUCUGUGACUCUUUCAUGGUUAAAAACAGUCCAUGGAGAAAGAUCCUAAAGAAAAAAGGUUUUGGCCAUGAUAUUAAAUUUGAGAUACUGAAAGACCAUGCACAAUGUAGGACAAAAUAUUAACAAUUGUUACAUUUAUACUGAGGUUCUUUCUUUACAUUUUUGAAAAUUAUUUUUAACGCCUCAAAUGAGGAUCAAUAAUUUCUGCCAGUUUCACUUCCUGAAAGCAAAUAAAUCCAUUACAGCAUAGCAUGUUAUGAAGUAAGACAUUUCAAUGACACAGACCGCUAAAGAGAGAGUUUGAAGACCUAAAAACCACUUGGUUUGAACAGCUUAGGAAACAGAUCAUGA